AUGGCCAUGGCCACCUUCGCUGCCACUCCCGCGCUCCUCUCCCCCCCGCCCCCCUACACCACGGCCCCUCCACCCCGCGGGCGCCCGCCCCGCCCGCCUCUCCGUCUCGGCCUCCGGCUCCCGCGCCGCCGCCCCGUCACCACCACCACUCCGGCCGCAGCCCACGCCGCGAGCUCCCUCUCGUCCGCCCGCGGCGACCCGCGCGAGGCGGAGGCGGCGGUGGCGGAACUGCUGCGGGACAACGGCGCGUCGCCGGAGGACGCGGCCGCCAUCGCGGCGCGCGCGCCGGGGUACGCCGCCAUGCUGGCCGACGGCGUCAGGGAGCUCGACGAGCUCGGGCUCUGGGCGUCCUGGAGCGCCGGGGCGGGCGCGCGCGCCGGCGCCGAGAUGGGCGCGCUCGGGUUCGGCAGGAAGGUGUACUUCAUGGGGCGGAGCCGGCGCGACGGCGCCGUCGUCCCGCUCGUCGAGAGCCUCGGCGUGCGCCUCUCCUCCGCCAAGCUCAUCGCGCCCUACGUCGCCGCCGAGGGUCUCCCGGUGCUCAUCCGCAGGGUUAAGUUCUUCAAGGAAAUGCUGUUUUCAAGCAGUGGCUAUGAAACUCUAAUCGGAUGGAAUGCUAAGCGCAUGAUAGCGCACUUUUCAAUACCCGCAGAUGAGGCACUCCAGAGUACGCUGUCAUUUUUCGAAAAGAUGGAGGCCAGACAUGGUGGUCUGAGCAUGUUGGCACAUGGGGAUGUGUCAUUUCCCUAUCUCAUCAAAUCAUUUCCAAUGCUUCUUCUCUGCUCAGAGGACAAACAUCUUAAGGCAUUAAUUGAUUUCCUUGAACACGUUGGAGUUCCCAAGCCGAGGAUUCCAUCAGUUCUGCUGGCAUUUCCUCCUAUUAUUCUUUCUGAUGUCGAAAAGGAUAUCAAGCCAAGGAUUCAUGCAUGGGAGAAGGCUGGCAUAGAACAAGAAUAUAUUGGUCGGAUGUUGUUGAAGUAUCCAUGGAUUCUUUCAGCAAGUGUGAUAGAAAACUACAAGCAGACGCUUUUGUUCUUCAACAGAAGAAAGAUUUCCAGUGCAUUUCUUGGUACCGCUGUCAAAAGUUGGCCUCACAUUCUGGGUUGUUCAACAACAAGAAUGAACUCAAUUCUGGUGCUGUUUGAUGAUCUGGGCAUCAGUAAGAAAAUGUUAGUGCCUGUUCUUACAUCAAGUCCACAGUUGCUGCUGAGAAAACCUAAUGAGUUUUUGCAGAUUGUUUCCUUUUCCAAAGAUAUGGGUUUCGAUAAGAAAGCAGUGGGAAAGAUUGUCUGUCGUUCUCCAGAAAUUUUUGCUUCAGAUUUGGAGAAUACCCUCAAAAAGAAAAUCGACUUUCUUAUUGACUUUGGUAUUUCCGAGCGUCACCUUCCCCGUAUCAUUAAGAAGUACCCAGAGCUUUUAUUGUUGGACAUAAAUCGCACACUGCUCCCCAGAAUGAAUUACUUUCUGGGGAAGGGCUUGUCUAAGAAAGAUGUCUGCUCAAUGAUCUCUAGAUUCUCCCCACUUCUGGGGUACAGUAUUGAGCAUGUUCUGAAACCAAAGCUUGAUUUUCUGUUACAAACCAUGAAGAAACCACUUAAAGCGGUUGUGGAAUAUCCAAGGUACUUCAGCUAUUCUCUGGAGGGGAGGAUAAAGCCACGGUUUUGGAUAAUCAAGAGUAGACAUAUAGACUGCAGUCUGACUGACAUGUUUGGCAAAAACAAUGAACUUUUUGCUGAAGAGUACCUGGGAAUAGAAACAUGA
rnacentral:rRNA from 1 species